rnacentral:rRNA from 1 species
UACGUAUGGGGCGAGCGUUGUCCGGAAUUAUUGGGCGUAAAGGGUUCGUAGGCGGUUUAUUAAGUCGAGUGUGAAAGGUUGGGGCUCAACCCCAUAAAGCAUUCGAAACUGAUAAACUUGAGAUGUGGAGAGGAAAGUGGAAUUCCUAGUGUAGCGGUGACAUGCGUAGAUAUUAGGAGGAAUACCAGUAGCGAAGGCGACUUUCUUGACACAUACUGACGCUAAGGAACGAAAGCCAGGGGAGCAAACGGGAUUAGAUACCCGGGUAGUCCCUGAGCGGGCUGGCAA